rnacentral:RNase_P_RNA from 2 species
AAAACAAGCCGUCUUAUCGUCCCGUCCCGAAACUUCGGGAUCUGGAAGGAAAGUCCGGACACCAAAGUGCAAGCAUAGCGGGUAACACCCGUCGCUCUGUCUAUUACGUCAGUGUUGGACCAGUGCAACAGAAAGCAAGUACAGUUAGGCUGUAGUGAAAUCAGGUAAACUCUAUGCGGUGCAAUACCAUGUAUACCAAGGCUCGAAUGUGGCACGCAUGAUCUUGGAGGGUUGGUAGCUUGAUCCCAAUAGUAAUAUUGGGGCCAGAUAAAUGAUAAGAUUCCGUCUCGACGGGAACAGAAUCCGGCUUAUAGGCUUGUUUUAUUU